GAUGAACGCUGGCGGCGUGCCUAAUACAUGCAAGUCGAGCGAACAGACGAGGAGCUUGCUCCUCUGACGUUAGCGGCGGACGGGUGAGUAACACGUGGAUAACCUACCUAUAAGACUGGGAUAACUUCGGGAAACCGGAGCUAAUACCGGAUAAUAUAUUGAACCGCAUGGUUCAAUAGUGAAAGACGGUUUUGCUGUCACUUAUAGAUGGAUCCGCGCCGCAUUAGCUAGUUGGUAAGGUAACGGCUUACCAAGGCGACGAUGCGUAGCCGACCUGAGAGGGUGAUCGGCCACACUGGAACUGAGACACGGUCCAGACUCCUACGGGAGGCAGCAGUAGGGAAUCUGCCGCAAUGGGCGAAAGCCUGACGGAGCAACGCCGCGUGAGUGAUGAAGGUCUUCGGAUCGUAAAACUCUGUUAUUAGGGAAGAACAAAUGUGUAAGUAACUAUGCACGUCUUGACGGUACCGAAUCAGAAAGCAACGGCUAACUACGUG
rnacentral:rRNA from 1 species